rnacentral:lncRNA from 1 species
CCGGCUUCUGUUCAAAAGUUCAGACCUGGGCCAGCUGCUCCCUGCUGUGUGCUAUGCCUCUGUCACCUCUCAGGCUUCCAUGUCCUUGUGCCCUAGAAUGGGGACAACAGCUCCUACUUCAAAGGGGUUGAAUUGAGAUGGACAACGUGCUUAAAACUCGGCCCUGGAGCAGCACAAGCCGCAGGGACACCUGCUGCGGUUCCCCAACGCAGCAAGAGUCACUCCACCGCCCGGGUCCCAGGACACCCCCUCAUGCCAGGGGUCCUGCUGACUCCCAGGAUGGAGCUCGAGCAAGACUGGGCAGACCCGUCCCCCGGCACUCCCAGGCCAGGCGGAAACACCCUGGGAACAGGACAUUCGCAGAUAACCAGCUCAUUCUCAUGGUCCGGAGGGUCAGGAAGGGUCUCCUGCAAGCCCAGGUGGGCAAGGUGAAC